GGGUCGUUAGCUCAAUCGGUAGAGCAGCGGACUUUUAAUCCGUUGGCCCCGGGUUCAAGUCCCGGACGACCCACCA
rnacentral:tRNA from 1 species